GGCGCUCGUGCGGCAGGACGGCGACCGGCGGUUCGCCGCCACCGCGCCACGUCUCCGAGGGGCCGUUGCGGCGUCGCCGUCGGCGAUUUUUAUCGGCCUCGCGGGUGCCGACUCGCGCGACCGGCGAUCGCUGCGUUCCACGGCGAUUCUCCGGCAGGGGAUGAGCAGCGAGAUUAAUAAAUCCCCCCACGGAGAUAAGGCCGGAUCGGUCGGUUGGCGGCGGCUCGACCAGGCAACCACCGCCGCCCGGCGAGCCCUCUUUGGGCGUAUGUGACCGUUCCCC
rnacentral:lncRNA from 1 species